CAAGAGAACCGGAACACAGGUGCUGCAUGGCUGUCGUCAGCUCGUGUCGUGAGAUGUUGGGUAAGUCCCGCAACGAGCGCAACCCNUGUCAUUAGUUGNUACGAAAGGGCACUCUAAUGAGACUGCCGGUGACAAACCGGAGGAAGGUGGGGAUGACGUCAAGUCCUCAUGGCCCUUAUGGGUAGGGCUUCACACGUCAUACAAUGGUCGGGACAGAGGGUCGCCAACCCGCGAGGGGGAGCCAAUCCCAGAAACCCGAUCGUAGUCCGGAUCGCAGUCUGCAACUCGACUGCGUGAAGUCGGAAUCGCUAGUAAUCGCGGAUCAGCAUGUCGCGGUGAAUACGUUCCCGGGUCUUGUACACACCGCCCGUCACACCAUGGGAGUGGGUUUUACCAGGAGUAGUUAGCCUAACCGUAAGGGGGGCGAUUACCACGGUAGGACUCAUGACUGGGGUGAAGUCGUAACAAGGUAGCCGUAUCGGAAGGUGCGGCUGGAUCACCUCCUUAAGCUUGGAUCCCGGG
rnacentral:rRNA from 1 species